rnacentral:lncRNA from 1 species
UGAUGACACAUAAUGAUGACACAUAAGGAUGACAUAUAAUGAUGACACAUAAUGAUGACAUAUAAUGAUGACAUAUUGAUUACAUGUUUUAUUUAUUUAUUUCUCCUUUAUUUAACCAGGUAGGCAAGUUGAGAACAAGUUCUCAUUUACAACUGCGACCUGGCCAAGAUAAAGCAAAGCAGUUCGACAACAUACAACAACACAGAGUUACACAUGGAGUAAACAAACAUACAGUAGAUAAUACAGUAGAACAAUAAGUCUAUAUACAAUGUGAGCAAAUGAGGUGAGAUAAGGGAGGUAAAGGCAAAAAAGGCCAUGGUGGUAAGUAAAUACAAUAUAGCAAGUAAAACACUGGAAUGGUAGAUUUGCAGUGGAAGAAAGUGCAAAGUAGAAAUAGAAAUAAUGGGGUGCAAAGGAUCAAAAUAAAUAAAUAAAUAAAUACAGUAGAGGAAGAGGUAGUUGUUUGGACUAAAUUAUAGAUGGGCUAUGUACAGGUGCAGUGAUCUGUGAGCUGCUCUGACAGCUGGUGCUUAAAGCUAGUGAGGGAGAUAAGUGUUUCCAGUUUCAGAGAUUUUUGUAGUUCGUUCCAGUCAUUGGCAGCGGAGAACUGGAAGGAGAGGCGGCCAAAGGAGGAAUUGGCUUUGGGGGUGACCAGAGAGAUAUACCUGCUGGAGCGCGUGUUACAGACAGACUCAGAUCCUCCCUUCCUGCUCCCUUGAUGUCAAUAACCUUCUGGUGCUGUUGGAUGGCCUGUAGGACAACUGAACCAUAUUUAUAGUCAGUUAAAGAACAAAUUCUUCUUUACAGUGAUGGCCUACCCUGGCCAAAACCUCCCUUAACCUGGACCACGCUGAGACAACUGAACCUGUCAUGACUGUCGAAAGGAUCGGACCAAAGUGCAGUGUGGUUGUAGUUCCACAUUUUAUUAAAUCCGUGAAACUUUGCAAAACAUAAAUAACUGAAUUUACAAAAACAACAAACCGUGACGCAGAGAGAAACAAACACUACUCAAAAUAUAAUCACCCACAAAAACAGGAAGAAAAAAAACCCUACUUAAAUAUGAUCUCCAAUCAGAGGUAACAAGGACCAGCUGCCUCCAAUUGGAGAUCAUCCCAAACAACCCCAACAUAGAAAUAGAAAAACUAGAACUUAAACAUAGAAAUACAAAACAUAGAAAAACACAAAACACCCCCUGUCACGCCCUGACCUACUCUACCAUAGAAAAUAGCCUCUUACUAUG